rnacentral:rRNA from 1 species
UACGGGAGGUAGCAGUGGGGAAUAUUGCACAAUGGGCGAAAGCCUGAUGCAGCUAUGCCGCGUGUAUGAAGAAGGCCUUAGGGUUGUAAAGUACUUUCAUCGGGGAGGAAAAACAAAACUAAUAAUUUUAUUUCUUGACGUUACCCGAAAAAGAAGCACCGGCUAACUCCGUGCCAGCAGCCGCGGUAAUACGGAGGGUGCUAGCGUUAAUCAGAAUUACUGGGCGUAAAGAGCACGUAGGUGGUUUUUUUAAGUCAGAUGUGAAAUCCCUGGGCUUAACCUAGGAACUGCAUUUUGAAACUGAAAUACUAGAGUAUCGUAGAGGGAGGUAGAAUUCUAGGUGUAGCGGUGAAAUGCGUAGAUAUCUGGAGGAAUACCUGUGGCGAAAGCGGCCUCCUAAACGAAUACUGACACUGAGGGUGCGAAAGCGUGGGGAGCAAACGAGGGAUUAGGAUAC